AAGAUGAGAGGAGAGGAUGGGGAGGGAGGAGUAACAAAAGUAAAAACUAAAAGUGAAAACUAAAAUCUAUUUCAAAUUGUUUUCACUUUCAAGUUUUUGUUUUCACUUUUGUUACUCCUCCCUCUCAUCUUUCCCUCUCAUCAUC
rnacentral:miRNA from 1 species